CCUACGGGAGGCAGCAGUGAGGAAUAUUGGUCAAUGGUCGGGAGACUGAACCAGCCAAGCCGCGUGAGGGAUGAAGGUACAGAGUAUCGUAAACCUCUUUUGUCAGGGAACAAAGGCGGGGACGCGUCCCCGGAUGAGGGUACCUGAAGAAAAAGCAUCGGCUAACUCCGUGCCAGCAGCCGCGGUAAUACGGAGGAUGCGAGCGUUAUCCGGAUUUAUUGGGUUUAAAGGGUGCGCAGGCGGUCUGUUAAGUCAGCGGUAAAAGCCCGGGGUUCAACCCCGGCCCGCCGUUGAAACUGGCAGUCUCGAGUUGGAGAGAAGUAUGCGGAAUGCGCGGUGUAGCGGUGAAAUGCAUAGAUAUCGCGCAGAACUCCGAUUGCGAAGGCAGCAUGCCGGCUCCACACUGACGCUGAGGCACGAAAGCGUGGGUAUCGAACAGGAUUAGAUACCCCUGUAGUC
rnacentral:rRNA from 1 species